CCUGGGUGACUUAUAAAGAGAGUGAGAGAGUAAGAGAAUCACGGGUAGCUCCGCAAAACGCGGACGACCCUGGGUGACUGAUAAAGAGAGUGAGAGAGUAGGAGAAUCACGGAAUCACGGGUAGCUCCGCAAAACGCGGACGACCCUUGGUGAUUGAUAAAGAGAGUGAGAGAGAGAGAGUAAGAGAAUCACGGAUAGCUC